AAAGAGCACACAAAUGUUAUAGGAACUUUGUAGAGUGUGGGGAAAAAACAGAAAACAGAACAUCACCAACAGACCAUAACACAAAAUGAGAACUCAAUCACAAAAAGUGUGUCAAAACUUCCAAUAACUGAUGGGAUGAAGAAG
rfam:Equus caballus chromosome 14, whole genome shotgun sequence.